AUGCACGCUGGCGGCGUGCCUAAUACAUGCAAGUCGAGCGAACAGACGAGGAGCUUGCUCCUCUGACGUUAGCGGCGGACGGGUGAGUAACACGUGGAUAACCUACCUAUAAGACUGGGAUAACUUCGGGAAACCGGAGCUAAUACCGGAUAAUAUAUUGAACCGCAUGGUUCAAUAGUGAAAGACGGUUUUGCUGUCACUUAUAGAUGGAUCCGCGCCGCAUUAGCUAGUUGGUAAGGUAACGGCUUACCAAGGCAACGAUGCGUAGCCGACCUGAGAGGGUGAUCGGCCACACUGGAACUGAGACACGGUCCAGACUCCUACGCGAGGCAGCAGUAGGGAAUCUUCCGCAAUGGGCGAAAGCCUGACGGAGCAACGCCGCGUGAGUGAUGAAGGUCUUCGGAUCGUAAAACUCUGUUAUUAGGGAAGAACAAAUGUGUAAGUAACUAUGCACGUCUUGACGGUACCUAAUCAGAAAGCCACGGCUAACUACGUG
rnacentral:rRNA from 1 species